rnacentral:misc_RNA from 1 species
AAGUCGUAACAAGGUUUCCGUAGGUGAACCUGCGGAAGGAUCAUUAACACGUGAAAACGUAUAAUGUACCUUACAUUACACCCCCUGUGAAUUUGUUUUCAUCCCUGUUCUUUGGAUAUUGUUCUAUUCAAUAUGUAGUAGGAUAUGAGAAAUCAUAUGCAAUUGAAUGGAUACUGAGGCUUCGAGCCUAAGAUAUCUUUUGAAUGGGCUAUUUUUAACUUUUUCCCCUACUACAAAAAGGCCUUAUUCUAACCAAUUUCACCUUUUAAACCAUUCUGACUAAUCUUAAUUGAUUUGUAAAGAAAUUUACAUCGAUCAAUCAAUUUAUCUUAAACUAAGCACAACUCUUAGCAAUGGAUAUCUUGGUUCUC